ACAAACUCUUUCUUCUCUCCUUAUCCCUCUUUCUCACACUCUCUCCCCCGAUAUCUCUUUCUCCUCCCUUAGAUUGCCAGCGCCGGAGACUUCAUCUCCGGCCACCGCCUCUUAUCACCACCCACACCAAACAACACCGAGCCUAACCUGUUCAAAGCCCAACCCGUUUGACGGUAGGAAACGAAUCUAGCCACCUUAUGCGACCACCCAAGCCCGGCUGCCUUUGCCCAGCCAAAGCUCACUUUCGGUCAUCUUCCUCCCUCAUUGCCGUCACCAUCGAGCCCAGAGGAGGCCAGGCGUUACAACCCAGGCCCCUCGACUUCCAACGACCACCAUGGGUGAGAUCAACAUCGCCUCCAACGCCUAGAACGCCGCUGCACGUGCCGUCGCCAGCUAAGGUAUAUGGACAACAAGCUUCAAAGUAAGUUCACAAUGUUCUCUGUUCAUUUCAAUUUGUUGUUCACAAUGAUCUCUGCUCUUUUCAGUUUGCUUAUCCUCAUUGUUCAAUUUAUUCAUAUCAUAAAGUUUGGACUGGGCAUUAUCUUCAAAUUAGAUUGUAAUCUUUUCAUUAUUUGUUUUGAUGUUGCAGUAAGUCUAUUAUCAAUUCUGUUUCGUGUUGUUUCCAGACUUUUUGUUAAUUGAAGUUUGAUGGAUUUUGUUUUGUCAUUUAUGGUUUAGUCCAUUAAUCAGGAGUACUAAUUAUAUCUACAUGAAAGUUGUGUUUUAAUAUACGUAGUAGUCUUGUAUCUGGUUUUCAAAAGAUUAAAGGGUGUAUUUGUUUGAACUGCCUCUAUAGUGGUUCUGAAUGUUCACAAUUCUAGUUUAAGUUUAUAUUUCUUGGGAAAACAGUGCAAAGGAAGGUGUUUAAUUUCUCAGUAUUACUAUGAUUCAUUAUAUUUGCUCUCUUUUUUCUGUCUGAGUGGUCAUCAAUUAAUUUGUGUAAAUACUGCAUAUUUUCUCUUGUGUUACUAAUUGAUCGAUUUGAUGAAGUUUUGUGACUUUAAAGGUUUCAGGAAAUCUUUCAAAUAUUCUACAGAAUUUAGUGUAAGUGAAAUACUUUCCAUCAACUUUGGUGUUAUUUGGCAGCAUUAUAAAGUCAGAAACGAUAUCAGGAUCACCUGCUAUGGCCCUUUCAGAAGUAGUGGUCAGGGCAAGUGCUAGCAUUAGUACUGCAAAAUAAUUCAUCAAGGCCAUGGUUAAUGUGCUGAAGAGGUUCUUGUUGCCAGCUUCUGUUAAGCCAAUCUUGCAUGGUCUCAUUCAUGGUCUUGAUGCACUGUUCAGCUGUGUCAUACCUAUUAUUCUGCUCAUCAUCUUCGGAAUCACUAUCUUCUUACAUAUUGUGGAGGUGAUUAAAUCUUUUACUUAGUUUGAAUGAUGAUCUUUAUUAAUUUUAUGCUUCAAGAAUUCUAUCUUCAUCCCAUUAGAAGUUAAAACAAAGUUCAGAUAAAAUAGAAGAAAACGAAAAUAACAGUAUCUGACUAUCGCUUAGGAAUCAUGCCACCAUCUUCUCAGUUGUACAAUGUACUUUAUUCAUCUUCAGGUACAGGGCAUAAGAGAUAUAUGUUACCGUACCCUUAUUGUUAAUAUGACUUGCAAACAUUAAUCUGAUACAUAGAUUUGAACACUAAAAUAGCAACUAUGAAGCAAAUUACUAGUACUGCAUUUCUCUAAUCAUUUUAUAGUCAUGUAUAUACAUUUGAAACAAAUGACUUUAAUUGAUGUGUGAGCUUAAAAAGUUAUAGCAGCAAGGUCUGUUGGUUGUUAACGUAGUCCUUAGAUGAUCUAUUCCCUUCUGUGCAUAUCUGUAAAACCUUCAUGGAUUGCAAAAAUCCAGGUAAUAAAAACUUCAUGAAAGAGGUUGUGUCGAUGGUUGUUCUUGAGCAACAGUGGACAAGUGAGUUAUUGCAGUCAAAUGCAUUGCAUGAAGGUUUACAUGAAGAAGAAAUUAAUGAUGGAUCGGUAGAAGAUAUUGCCAUUAUCCAAAGUUGUUAGGGAAGCUGCUGUAAGCAUUGUUCCCACACUUAGAAUGAUGGUCUUUCUUAAUUUUUAGCUACCCUAUUAAGUGCUUGAAACUAUUAGGUUCUGUCUUCUGAAUUUGAAACUAUUGAACUUGAAACUAUUUUCUCUGUGUUGUUUGCAGUAGUGUAUGGAUUGCUGAAGCAUUGGGGUUGCAUGUAGAAGAGGAGAAGUGGCUGCAUCAUGAACAACUUGAGGUAAGCAUUUGGAAGCCAUGCACACUAUUUUCAUGUAUUUACAUGAUUGCAUGUCAACUAUUUACAUGUUAAUCUACAUUUUUAUCCAUAUGUGCUAUUAAGUACUAUAAUUGUUUUUUUUUUUUUAUGGAAAAUGUUUGGCUAAAGGCUUGCUGUUCUUGGCUUAAUGAUCCUAAUUAUAAGCAUGGUUUUCAUUUUCAAAGCACUGGCUAAGUAGAUCAUCAAAACCGUCAAGGUAGCUGGCCUCUAAAGUAUUCUUGUAUUCCUGGGAUCCCUGGAACUUCAGCAGAUACUCAUUUUCCUUAACUGCAGAUUGAUCCUUAAGACCCAUGACCUUGUCUUUAAGCCCUUGGAUUACCAGUUCCAAAUCCUCUUUUCGCUUACAUUCCUUGACUUUAAAACUUUCAAGAUGCUUGAUUUUUUCCGCCAUCCGGCUAGUUUCCUCUUCUUUUUCCUUCAGUCUUUUUUGACAACUCGCCAGCUUGGCCAUUUCUUUCUUCCCUUGGUCCAACUGAGUCCUAGUCUCCACGAGCUCUUUGUUAGCCUCAGAAACCAGAGAAUCCAGCUCACGAAUCCUACCUGCCAUUCUGUCAAUUAUGAGGUGAACCUUCACUCCGACCUGCAACGUUAGAAGAAACUUAAAAUUCCCAUGUCAGCGAACCAAACUUUAUAUACCAACAACAACAAAAAAGAAGAAGAAAAUAAUUGACAACCUUGAGCAUCAAACCCUUAGCUCCAUCCAACAGGAAGUCAAGCUUGCCCUCGAGCUCUUUCUCCCCAAAUUCAGCCAUGAAGGACUUGGAAUCAACUAUUUCGACCACGUCUUCAAUGUAAGCGAAAAGAAAGUCUGGGACCCCAAUCAUGCGUAAGUGUGCCGGAGAAUCCCCAUGUUUUCGAGACUCUCUCCGAGCAUCCAUCAUGAACCCUUCCUC